UCAGCUAUAAUAUUACUGUAGGAUUGAACUUCACAAGGCACCCACCAGUAUUGUAAUUAUUUUUCUUAGAAAACAAAUGACUAAAUGUAUAAUAUUCAUCAUACUUACACAGUAGACAGUAGUUCUUCUACAGUUCUUGCUAUUAGUACUUUUCUAUGUAAAUCAAUUGUAUUAGUGUCGUGUAAAAAUGAUUGGAUAUCGACUCAAAAACAAAGAUGGAAAACCUGAGUACGGAGAAGAAGAUUCAAAUUUUGAAUUGACCUUUUAUUCAACUUUUGUUUACAAGCCAUAAACGUCACUGGAUUUACAAGGUAAUUAGGUCCUGAUUACAAAGUAUCGUAACUUAAUGUAUAUCUACAUGAGAAAUUUCAAACAUCAAUACUUGUGAGAUCGACUGAAAGCAGAAAGAGUACUUGAGUAUCACAGUGCUUAAUGUCAAUACGAGGAAGCAAUCAUCAUAUUAGUACUUCGCAAAAUGAGUGCUAAGACAUUGGCAAGCUGUGGAGCACGAGAAACAAAAAAACCAAUUUCGGUCAACUGUUGGCUGUUCAGUAAGAUUGUAUAACUGCUCUGAACCUAAUACAAAAAUUAAGGUAUUUUGUUGAAUGCAACGAUAAGUAAUCUCUUACUCUUACUAGUCAACUGUUCGGCAAAGUAAACUAGAGAAGUUUAUUGACAGAUAUUUAAAUGGGUAUUUUGAAAAAAAGUUGAAAAAACGGCCAACAUUACAGCUAGUUUACUGUCUGCAACAACAAACAUUUUACAACUUCAAAUUUUAGUGAUAACGCUGAUGACAAUAUCACCAAGAAGAUUGUAUCCAACUAAAUAAUUUUUCUUGAGAGGAUAAAACUGUUUCCUGUUCUGAUGCAUGGAUGAAAAAGAUAAACGAUUAUAAGCGCCCUUGACCUGCUCGGAGAACUUUUUUAUACGUUUUUUUUACCAACAUCUGUUAAAACAUUAUUUAUGGAAUCGUUAAUGUUUAUACAGCGUUUGCUGGACAAAGAGCCAUACGAGCUGGAAGUGAGCGACCUGGAUACAAGUAUGAUAAACUAUGUCUUUUAUGACUUAGAAAACAUUUAUUACCAAAUAGUGGUGUCACUGUAAUUAUUCAACUACAACAAAUUAUGCAAAGCGUAAAAGAUACGUGUUUAUUUGUUAAACACGAUGAAAUAGUUUAAAAUGCCAUUUAAUUUGUGCAAAGGAGACACAAGAAUCAUCCUUAAAUGCAAUGUGUGCAUAAGUCUGUCGGUGCUGAUGAAGAUCUAUUAGUUCACCCCCGAUCAAUUUUCACCUAUGUUAAUCGAUCGCAUUUGUACGCAGUGAUAAAAUAUGAUAAUUACCGACUGUUAAUUUUAAUUAAUUUACAUUACGACAUUAACAAUUUUGAUGAAUUGUUGUCUUUUUUAAACAUUUAGACAAAUCAUGUUUUUAAAAAAAUGUAUAAAGUAAACUGGUUUAAGACCCAAACUCUUAUUUAACAGAACCUUAUUUCCAUUGUCGCAAUCUAAUAUGAAUGUACAAUUUAUUUUAGGUACUUAUUUGUGUGUUGAAUAUGUUAUUGAAUAUACUGGUAAAAACCAACGUGGUAUACCAAACUUGUUUUACGAUCUGUGUUAAAUUUUCUAUUUUGCUUUAACAACUUUACCUAUCAAGUAAUAUUAAAUUUUUGUCGUGUCGUUUAUGCUAACAAACAAAAUUAUUUUUUUACUGUUGAAGAAUUAUUGUACUUUUGCAUUGUUACCAUCGAUUUAAUAAUGUAUUUAGUUUAUAACAUGUGCCAUUUAAAAUUUAAAGGGGAAUAUAUUCUAAUAAAGCAAAACUAGUUUUAAUGUAAUAGUUGAAUUUAAUACAAUUAAGUAUUUAACUGAUUUUUGAACAGUCCUUAUUACUAGAUACGGCUUUACACUAUUUUUCCACCCCAACAUUGUUUAGUCAUGUACUUUGAAUUAUUUA